GACGAACCGUGCAAACGUUGUUCGGAAUCACUGGGCUUAAAGGGCGCGUAGGCGGGCUUACAAGUCAGGGGUGAAAGCCCACGGCUCAACCGUGGAAGUGCCUUUGAUACUGUAAGCCUCGAGCGAGGUAGGGGCGAGCGGAACUUCCGGUGGAGCGGUGAAAUUCGUAGAUAUUCGCAAGAACACCAGUGGCGAAGGCGGCUCACUGGCCCGAUACUGACGCUGAGGCACGAAAGCGUGGGGAGCAAACAGG
rnacentral:rRNA from 1 species